UACGGGGGGAGCUAGCGUUGUUCGGAAUUACUGGGCGUAAAGCGCACGUAGGCGGCUUUUUAAGUCAGAGGUGAAAUCCCGGGGCUCAACCCCGGAACUGCCUUUGAAACUGGAGAGCUAGAAUCUUGGAGAGGCGAGUGGAAUUCCGAGUGUAGAGGUGAAAUUCGUAGAUAUUCGGAAGAACACCAGUGGCGAAGGCGACUCGCUGGACAAGUAUUGACGCUGAGGUGCGAAAGCGUGGGGAGCAAACAGG
rnacentral:rRNA from 1 species